AAAAUAACGAAAUAAAAAACAAAACGUUAGCGAAACUACUUCCCACUUUUUUCGCUUUUACAAUAAUAAUGGCAAAAUAAAAUACUCGACGUCUGCAAUUUAUUUGAUCGCAAAAAAUCUAUUUGUGCAUGCGGGCCAAGCGAUUACGGUUAGUCAGAAGUUGAACGCGUUGGCGAGCGUGUACCCGGUGUCCAGUGUCAAGUGCAAUACCAACGGAUUAUUAAGCAAGUGAUAAAAUAUUAAAAGGAUAUUCAUUACUAAAGGAUAAAAGGAUAUUUAAUAUAAGAAUACUGGAAAUACCAUCAAGUGUGUGUGUGUGUUUAAAUUUUAAACUAGCGACCGAGUGAUCGUAGAUGCAUAAGGGCCAUGAUUUGGUGUAAAAUGUUUGCCCUGCUGGCUGUUUUGCUGGCCUUCUCGAUGUCCUCUAAUGCAUCGUCCCAAGACAAAUCAAUAACUGCAGCAGCGGAAUCGACUCAAGACGAGGAUACAAUCGACUUGACUCCACCCGCAGACCUCACACUCGAAAAGGGCGAAGAUGAACGCGGUGCAGACCAGAUCGUGGGCCAGUCUUUGUUUACACCGAGCUUAGGGCAGUCUUUCUUGCCAACACCAUUCAAUUUGUUUAGUGCAAUGUUUCCGGCGUUGAACUCCUUAUUAUUAAUGGGUAACCUGUUUCCUGCCGCGUCGCUUUUAGGCACGCACUCGUUAUUGGGUUCAACACACCAAUUAGGACCUGCAAUGAGUGAUGAGAUGCCAGCCGAUUCAAAGGUUGUUUUAGUGUUAGCUGAAGACCGUAAUCCUAAUGCUGCGAUGAGAGCUGCCCAUCAGGAAGCUGCACGAACAAUUCGGCAAAAUGAUAUGUUUAGUCAGUUCUUGGCUCAAUUUGGUCAAGCUGAUUUCGGGCAGAUGCUAGCGCAGUCAUUGGAACAAAUGCAACAACAGAGUCCCAAUCAGUUGUUACAGCAAAAUGCUGGGCAAUUGUUGCAGCAAUUUGUGCCGCAGGAUUUCUCACAGACGAUGGGUCAACUUUUAUCGCAAACAUUUCAACAGUUUCCCGGUUUAGAUUUGUCACAGUUUCCAAUGUUAGGGCAGGCACCACCAUCCAUUGAUCCUUCAGUAGGUGCAGCAUUGCCGCAAGCGGAAGGUGAAGCCGUUACUUCUGAAGGUGGUGCUGCACCACAAGUGCCAUUAGGAUUCCAAAUGUCAAAUUUCCAAUCAGCCCUAGAUGCAGGAACACAAUUAUUGGGUCAGGCUUUUCAACAACCAAAUAGUGAUCCAAGUUCUGGCUUUCAGUUACCAAAUUUUCAAUCAGCUUUAGACGCAGGUACACAAAUGCUGGGUCAGGCCUUUCAGCAAACUAAUUCCGAUGCAGCUUCUGGUGGAUUUCAACUACCCAACUUUCAAUCUGUCAUAGAUACAAGCAACCAAAUGCUUAGCCAGUCAGGCAACUUAUUUAAUCUUCGUCCGCUGCAAUCGUUAGAUCAAUCCUUAUCUGCAUCAGAUGCUGAACCAGCAGCUUCUCAGAUAUCAGAAGUUCGUGUCAAACCAGAUUCAAUUUCCAUAGCUGACAAUGACCAAAAAAUGCAAAAAGAUAUGAAUAUGGAUGAGUUGAAAAUGACGGCUGCUCUGAAAAAAGCUCUUCUCCAUAAGAAAUUACCAAUUUUAUGGUUCCGCAUUCCCGCUGAUUCUUCUGAAAACGUUCACGACCUUGAAAUGAAAAAACCUACUACACCUAAAGAAAAAACUGUCGAAGAAAAGCAACUACAAACAAAGUUGCAAGCAUUCCAACGCCAAGUUAUAACUGAAAUAAAGUUCCUACAGGACAUUGAACGUCAAGCUAAGGAAAUGCGGGCAGCGUCAUUGGGCUCAAAGUCACAAAGUUUUAAAGACGAUGCUAAUGCUAAUGCACAUAUCAGCAUGCUGAGUAAGAUACCAAUUUAUAAGAUAACUCGCUCUGAUAUUGAGAAAGCAUUGAAUGACGAUGAUGUCAAAAAGCUUUUGCACAAAGCCGCGGUUGCGAAUCGCAAAGAAGCUGCAAAGAUGACCAUAUAUACGCCAAGUGGUGUAAAUAUCAAACGCCAAACCUCUAAGUCAACGAUGACCCCAAGACAAUUGUCAAGAGAUGACAUUGUCCGCCUGAUGGCUUAUGCAUAUCGCAUGGCAAAUGCUAAUGGAAUUCGAAUGUUAGAAUCUUCAGAGAGUAAGAAGCCAUCAAGCGACCCAGAGCUAGAUGGUACUCAAGCUUCCGGAGAUAUUUCCAAAACAACUGAACGUAAGUGGCCAUCUGAUACAAAGACAUCGAUUAAUAGACAGUGGCUGGAUGAAGAAAAUCGGAAACCAGAAGAAAAACAUUUUAAACAGAAUCCCACGUUAACGCAAAUGAGACAAAUGCAACAAAAUAUGGAUCGGAAGUGGUUUGAUGAACAAAAACCGAUACUUAAAAAUCAGCCAGAAAACUCAAUAAUGGAACACCAGCGUCAGGCAAUGGAGGAAAGUCCCCAAACGCAUUCACAACGCCAGUGGAUGGAUCAUAAAUCUGACAUGUUAAAUUGGAUGAAAGAAAAUUCCCAAAAUGCCCAGAAUUUGCAGAACCCAAGCAUGCCACCAAUGUCAAGCCAAUCAGCGGAUGGACGAAUGUGGGCGGAGCCACAGCCACAAGUAGCAAUGCACCAGCCUAUGAUGAUGCAGCAGACUCCGCUACCAACGAUUCAACAAACUGAGAUGCCUCAGAUGGUAGCAAAGCAAGCCCCAAUGGAGAUUCAACAGAUGCCGAUACCUAUGAUGGUAGCGCAACAAGCUCCAAUGGAGAUGCAACAGAUGCCGAUGCCUAUGAUGCAACAACAACAUAUGGCAGCAAAGCAUGAUCCAAUGGAGAUGCGACAGAUGACAAUGACGAUACAACAACCCCAAAUGGUAGCGCAGCAAGCUCCAAUACAGAUUCAGCAGAUGCCUAUGCCAAUGAUGCAACAACCUCAGAUGGUAGCGCAGCAAGCUCCAAUGCAGAUUCAGCAGAUGCCGAUGCCAAUGAUGCAACAACCUCAGAUGGUAGCUCAGGAAGCGCCAAUAGAGAUGCAAAACACGCCAAUGAUGUUGCAACAACCUCAGAUGGUAGCACAACAAGCUCCAAUGCAGAUGGGACAGAUGCCAAGGACGGUGCAAGAGCUCCAAAUGCCAAUGAUGAUGCAACAUCCUCGGGUAACAAUGCAGGAGCCGCCCAUGCUAAUGCAACACACACCUAUGAUAUCGCAACAUCCUCAGACCGAGGUAAUGGCGCAAAUGAGUGACAUGCAACGGCAAACUCAAGAACAAGACAUAGUCGGUGAGGCUACGCCACAAAUGCCUGAGAAUGCUGAAAAAGCUCGAUUUAAAGGUAAUCUAUUUGGUAUAUUACGCGAUAAUAUUACUCUUUUCCCCACUGACUCAAUUGAUCGCUCAGGCGGCUCUGUUUUCCAUGAAUUCGACAUGUUUGGAUUGGGUGGAGGUGGUGAUAAAAAGAGAAAACAAAAAAAUAGACCACAUCCUGCCUUGAGACCGACAAUUAUUAAUUACUAUACUAAUACUGGUGGUCGCCCAUUAACUUAUGGCAGCGGUUAUGGUGGUGCAAGUUUAAGCUAUGGCUCAAGCAGCAAACCGAGCUAUGGUGCGAGUUACGGUGGCGGUGCUAGUGGAAGUUAUGGUGCGCCUAAGCCCUAUGAUGGAGUCCCAAGUUAUGGAAGCUAUGGUGCAAGUGCAGGAGGAAGCUACAGUAGCACUGGAUAUGCAGCACCCAGUAUCGUAUCUUACAGAACUGCUGUUGGAGACGAUGAAAUCAGAGCCAUGCUUCAGGAGCACACACAUAUGGUGACGCAUUUCAGAAAAUGAUGUCCGACACAGACCGCAACCCCGUUAAUACCACAGUUGUGCCAAGUACAACAUCAUACCACGAAACGUCGACGGCCAAUGAAGACAUUUAUCAAAAACACCCAACAUCGCAGCCGAAAACAUCUUCGAUUAUUGAUAAGCCAAAUUCUACCACAACAACAAUAACAACGCCUACAAUCUCGCCAACCACAACUUCGUUAAAGUUAACAAGCUCUAGUGUUAAUCCAGAAAGUUCAUCUCACAUAGAUCCUGAAAAUGUAGGGUCGAUUUUCAGCUUCAGUCCAAGUAUCUUAACACCUUUUAUGGAGUUACAAUCUGUACCAUUAUAUGAAAGGGAUCCAUGGAAUUACAAAUCGUAUGACUUGCAUUAUCCGCUCUAUGAGGAUGGUGGAAGUUAUGAACCAUAUUUAAAUAGUAAACGUGUAAAACGGAAUUCGCGUGGUUAUACAAACAACAUACUCACCCCUACUAUUCUGGAUAAUUUCUUGAAAGUACGUGUGCAGUUUGAAAAAAGCUUUCCGGAGCUUUAUAAAAGUUUACGUGAUCAACAGCGCGCUCUUAAUUUGACGAGAGUAUCCGUGAAGCCGCCCGUGAUACCUAAAGAAGUGAUGUAUCCACCAACAGAAUUGGGUGCUGCGGAAUUGUUACCAUCAGAUUUCAGCUCCACUCAAAACAUUGAACCCACAACUAAAAAUGAAGAUGCUAUGGACUAUUUUUCAUUUGAUGAUGAUUAGAAUAAAAAAUGAUACAUUCUUGAAAGUAGCCUACCAAAAAUGUGUAAUUGAAAUGUGUAAAAUAAAAGAAAACAAUUAAAUAUGUAAAAUUGUAGGAUUAUUUUUUAAUAAGAACAUAUUUGGUAUCCUAUGACCAAUGGAGACGUG